GAUGAACGCUGGCGGCGUGCCUAAUACAUGCAAGUCGAGCGAACAGACGAGGAGCUUGCUCCUCUGACGUUAGCGGCGGACGGGUGAGUAACACGUGGAUAACCUACCUAUAAGACUGGGAUAACUUCGGGAAACCGGAGCUAAUACCGGAUAACAUGUUGAACCGCAUGGUUCAACAGUGAAAGACGGUUUUGCUGUCACUUAUAGAUGGAUCCGCGUCGCAUUAGCUAGUUGGUAAGGUAACGGCUUAACAAGGCAACGAUGCGUAGCCGACCUGAGAGGGUGAUAGGCGACACGGGAAGUGAGACACGGUCAAGAAUCCUACGGGAGGAAGCAGUAGGGAAUCUUCCGCAAUGGGAGAAAGCAUGACGGAGCAACGCCGAGUGAGUGAAGAAGGUCUUCGGAUCGUAAAACUCUGUUAUUAGGGAAGAACAAAUGUGUAAGUAACUAUGCACGUCUUGACGGUACCUAAUCAGAAAGCCACGGCUAACUACGUG
rnacentral:rRNA from 1 species